rnacentral:rRNA from 1 species
AACGAACGCUGGCGGCGCGCCUAAUACAUGCAAGUCGAGCGAGAAGACGUAGCAAUACGUUUGUAAAGCGGCGAACGGGUGGGGAAUACAUGGGUAACCUACCCUCGAGUGGGGAAUAACUAGCCGAAAGGUUAGCUAAUACCGCGUACGCUCCUUGGACUUCGGUUCAGGGAGGAAAGCGAUACCGUGGGUAUCGCGCUCUUGGAUGGGCUCAUGUCCUAUCAGCUUGUUGGUGAGGUAACGGCUCACCAAGGCUUCGACGGGUAGCUGGUCUGAGAGGACAAUCAGCCACACUGGCACUGCGACACGGGCCAGACUCCUACGGAGGCGA